rnacentral:rRNA from 1 species
CCUACGGGAGGCAGCAGUGGGGAAUAUUGCACAAUGGGGGAAACCCUGAUGCAGCGACGCCGCGUGAGUGAAGAAGUAAUUCGUUAUGGAAAGCUCUAUCAGCAGGGAAGAACAUGACGGUAACUGAGUAAGAAGCCCCGGCUAACUACGUGCCAGCAGGCGCGGUAAUACGUAGGGGGCAAGCGUUAUCCGGAUUUACUGGGUGUAAAGGGAGCGUAGACGGCAGUGCAAGGCUGGAGUGAAAGGCGGGGGCUCAACCCCCGGACUGCUCUUGAAACUGUACGGCUGGAGUGCAGGAGAGGUAAGUGGAAUUCCUAGUGUAGCGGUGAAAUGCGUAGAUAUUAGGAGGAACACCAGUGGCGAAGGCGGCUUACUGGACUGUAACUGACGUUGAGGCUCGAAAGCGUGGGGAGCAAACAGGAUUAGAUACCCGAGUAGUC